rnacentral:rRNA from 1 species
GAAACCGAGUCUUAACCGGGCGUUAAGUUGCAGGGUAUAGACCCGAAACCCGGUGAUCUAGCCAUGGGCAGGUUGAAGGUUGGGUAACACUAACUGGAGGACCGAACCGACUAAUGUUGAAAAAUUAGCGGAUGACCUGUGGCUGGGGGUGAAAGGCCAAUCAAACCGGGAGAUAGCUGGUUCUCCCCGAAAGCUAUUUAGGUAGCGCCUCGUGAACUCAUCUCCGGGGGUAGAGCACUGUUUCGGCUAGGGGGCCAUCCCGGCUUACCAACCCGAUGCAAACUGCGAAUACCGGAGAAUGUUAUCACGGGAGACACACGGCGGGUGCUAACGUCCGUCGUGAAGAGGGAAACAACCCAGACCGCCAGCUAAGGUCCCAAAGUCAUGGUUAAGUGGGAAACGAUGUGGGAAGGCCCAGACAGCCAGGAUGUUGGCUUAGAAGCAGCCAUCAUUUAAAGAAAGCGUAAUAGCUCACUGGUCGAGUCGGCCUGCGCGGAAGAUGUAACGGGGCUAAACCAU